rnacentral:misc_RNA from 1 species
GAAAUGCGAUAAAUAAUGUGAAUUGCAGAAUUCCGUGAAUCAUCGAAUCUUUGAACGCACAUUGCGCCCUCUGGUAUUCCGGGGGGCAUGCCUGUCCGAGCGUCAUUGCGAACCCCUCAAGCACGGCUUGUGUGAUGGGCCCUCCCGCGUCUUGGUCGUCAAGACGGGCCCGAAAUGCAGUGGCGGCUUCGCGGUUAUCCGAUCAGCCAGAGCGUAUGGGGACUUUCUCUCUGUCACACGCCCGCGGCGCGGACCGACGCCUGUCGACCUUCAUUCAUCGUUUUCUCGGUUGACCUCGGAUCAGGUAGGGAUACCCGCUGAACUUAAGC